rnacentral:rRNA from 1 species
AGUGAACGCUGGCGGUAGGCCUAACACAUGCAAGUCGAACGGCAGCACAGUAAGAGCUUGCUCUUACGGGUGGCGAGUGGCGGACGGGUGAGGAAUACAUCGGAAUCUACUUUUUCGUGGAGGAUAACGUAGGGAAACUUACGCUAAUACCGCAUACGACCUACGGGUGAAAGCAGGGGAUCUUCGGACCUUGCGCGAUUGAAUGAGCCGAUGUCGGAUUAGCUAGUUGGCGGGGUAAAGGCCCACCAAGGCGACGAUCCGUAGCUGGUCUGAGAGGAUGAUCCGCCACACUGGAACUGAGACACGGUCCAGACUCCUACGGGAGGCAGCAGUGGGGAAUAUUGGACAAUGGGCGCAAGCCUGAUCCAGCCAUACCGCGUGGGUGAAGAAGGCCUUCGGGUUGUAAAGCCCUUUUGUUGGGAAAGAAAAGCAGCAGGUUAAUACCCCGCUGUUCUGACGGUACCCAAAGAAUAAGCACCGGCUAACUUCGUG